rnacentral:rRNA from 1 species
AACGUAGGUACCGAGCGUUAUCCGGAUUUACUGGGCGUAAAGCGCGUUCAGGCGGUUUGGCAAGUCGGGCAUGAAAUCUCUCGGCUCAACCGGGAGAGGUUGUCCGAUACUUCCAGACUUGAGGGCAGUAGAGGGUGGUGGAAUUCCUGGUGUAGCGGUGGAAUGCGCAGAUAUCAGGAGGAACACCGGUGGCGAAGGCGGGUCUCUGGGCAGUAACUGACGCUGAGGAGCGAAAGCGUGGGGAGCGAACAGG